rnacentral:rRNA from 1 species
GACGAACCGAGCGAACGUUGUUCGGAAUCACUGGGCUUAAAGCGCGCGUAGGCGGCUUUGUAAGUUAGAGGUGAAAGCCCCGGGGCUCAACCCCGGAACUGCCUUUAAAACUGCAUCGCUUGAAUCCAGGAGAGGUGAGUGGAAUUCCGAGUGUAGAGGUGAAAUUCGUAGAUAUUCGGAAGAACACCAGUGGCGAAGGCGGCUCACUGGACUGGUAUUGACGCUGAGGUGCGAAAGCGUGGGGAGCAACAGG